CGCCGGGCGCAGCAAGGGCCAGACUCUGCGCUAGCAGGCGCUGCGCGCCAACCGGCCGGCACCUGUCGCAGAAGGUGCAACCGAUCGCACUGUCGCGCAGAAGCUCCUCAAUGGCCAGCGCCAGCUGCAGCCCCGGCCGCCCACUCGCCUCAUCUGAGCCUGGGCAAAUCUGGAUUGGGAAAGUUGACAUUAAUCAACUCAUUAUUCCUCACAGAUUUGUAUUCUCCAGAGUAUCCAGGUCCUUCUCAGAGAAUUAAAAAGCCUGUACAGCGCUGCUCUAAGCUGUUGAUGAAAAAUAUUGUUGGUGAGCUCUGCUUAGGUAAUAUAUAGGACAUGAGCAGAGAGGAGGCACGUGAACAGUUCUGGCCUGGAGUAGGCUUCAUUGAGGCUGUGAUGCUUUUAGCUGGAUUUGAAGAAGUGGUAGUGAUCAUCCCAGUGCACAGGAUAGGUGGACAGUCUAUGUAUUCUGAGCAGUAACUCAUAUAUCUCAUACUGCAAGACCCCAAAGGAGUAAUUUUGUGAACUCUGUUCACGGAAAGGGCCUGGGAGCUGCAACACCUCAACAGCAACAAGCACACCUGCUACCUAGAACUUGGUUUCUAAAAACCAUCCUCCUCUAAAAGGAAACAGAGCUCUUUGAAGAAACGCAGAAGGUAAGCAUGAGCAAAUUACUUUUUAGAGGUAACUUUGCUGAACUUGUGAAGAAUGGUGUGCAAGGUCCAGAGCGACUGCAGGAGAGGGAAGGUGGGAUUCCCACAGAGCAGGAGCACAGAUAAGCCAAGCAAGGCCCUGCUUGGAAGGCAGCAAUCAACAGAGAUGCACAGACCUGUGAGGGUGCCGGGACAGCCAUGCAACAAUGCAGCCCUUUUGCUUCCUGAGCUCACCAGUUCCCUCGCUCCACCUCUGAGAGGUGGUUUGGAGAAACACAGCCCUUCUCAAGAGGGCUGCAAGCUACUUAAGUCCUGAAAAUUUCCACAAGGCUGAGUCAAAUCUGCGUUUCAUCAUCUAUAAGAAAGGUACCUAUCGAGAACACCCUGCUGGCCAGUGUGUAAAUAUCUAAAGGAGGACUCAGAAAACACCGGGGAAGUCCAGCCUGCACGUGGUGGCUGGGCUUCAGUGAAGCAUGCAGCACAACAGGAGUUAGCAGCCAUGCACUGCCCAGGCUGGAAGUAUGCUCAACCACAAGGGUCAGGGCUGGGAGAGGCGCUUCGGUAGC
rnacentral:lncRNA from 1 species